CUAGUCAUUUCCAGUUUCUUGCGGCUGGGAAGGUGGUGGGAACCACUACUUUUGUUUUUCCUGUUGGUCUAAAAUCCUAUUCUGUUUGGAUCCGGAACCCCAUGCCCCAGGCAGUUCUGCCUCUUGCUCAUUCUUGGUUCUGGUGCUUUCUAAUGGCCUCGCCUUCCGCCAGGCAUUUCCUGCCCUGGGAGCCAAGGGGCAGGGUUCCUCACAAAUUUUUGCCACCUCUAAUAGCCAAGCCAGUCUCCCCUCUCUUCCUCAGAUCAGGAUUCAGGGAGUAGGGAGUGGGUUGGAAGCUGGAGUCUAUGAAGGGAGCUCACUGGAUAAGUGACAAGAGGCCCAUCCUCAGACGCUUUGUCCUGCCACACCCCAGGUGGUGCCAGGACAUGGGUGAGAGAAGUCUUCAAUCCUAGUCUCUUUCCCUUGACAUUUGUUCCCCCCUUCAGUGAUUCUGUCCCUGUGUAGCUUGGCCAUAUGCGAGGGGGCUGCUUGGAAGCCUAAAGUCUUGACAGCUGGAAAGAGUGUUCACAAGCCCACUCCCAAACUCAGAAUAUAGCUGAGAAGCUCAGGCACAGAGCUCAAGUGCCUUGCCCAAGAUCAACAACCAGUAAAAGGGGGAGAACUGGGACUCUCAGGUUUUCUGACUCUUAGGCAAUGUCUUUCUGUAACUUUCUAGUUUCCAAAGGCUGUGUUGGCAUAACCCUGUGAGGGGGGUGCCGUGCGGGGCGGGGGGGACAGAAGAAAAAGUGUCAUCCACUUGGUGUCCUAAUCUUCUUGCUUGAGCCUUUUAAAACCCUUAUUUUUGUCUUCUUUUUUAAUACCUCAGGCUCUAUUUUCACCUUGAAAAAGUGGUAUUUGAAUUGUCUUUUGUUCUUAGCAAAAGAGCUGAUGCUAAUUCUUCUCAACUCCUGCACUCAGAGGCUGAGCAACCCACUUCUGCACUAAUUAUGCCAGCUGCGUUUGCUUCCAGUUGUUUCGUAAAUGUUGAGUCCCGUCUCUCCAACUCAGCUGCAAGCUUUCCCUCUUCACAAAAUACUCACCGAAUUUUAUCACAGUAGCAAAAUAACCAUCAAGUGCCUACUACAGCCCGAGCUCUUUGCUUCUCACCCUGAAAGAGCGUCCGGUCUAAAUAAAAGGGCACAAGACACUGUGAGGAAACAGCGGACUGAUGAUGGCAGGUGUGACGGUUGCUGUGAAGGGAAUGCUCAGGGCUCGCUGAGGAGGUGGCAUUUCAGGUUGCGGAGGGCACGGAGGAAGGAUGUGGCUGAGGGCAGGGAGCUGGAAGCAUCUCGCCAGUGGGAGCACAAGGAUGGAGGUGAUAACAAAUGAGAAGGAACUCAGACCUGUGGUGAUGGCUGAGGUAAGUAGGGAUAGGGGAAUGAUGGGUUACAAUGCUGGCCAGAACUUUCAGUAUUGAUGGAAAAUCUGCACUCUAAACACUAGCCACAUGUAGCUUUUAUGCACAUGAAAUGUGGUGAAUGGGAUCGAGAGGCUAAAUUUUUAGCCUUAUUCUAAUUAAUUCAAGUUUAAAUAGGCACAUGUGGCUAGUGGCUCUCAUAUUGGACAGCAGAAUGUGGCUUCCCAUUUUUGUGACAUUUUCACUUGCUGGUCAGGGGGUCGUCAGGAUUUCCACUCUGCCAAAUAGCAAGGUGUAGCAGAGAACUUCUUAUCUUACUAUCAUGCAAAUCCAGACAAAGCACAGGAUCAGGCAACUUGGGGUCCAAUUCUUUUUUUUUUUUUUAAGAUUUUAUUUAUUUAUUUAUCAGAGAGAGAGUGCACAAGCAAGAGAGCGCAACCUGGGGGAGUAGCAGGCAGAUGGAGAAACAGGAGGAAGGAGUCUGAUGUGGGACUCUAUCCCAGGACUCUGGGAUCUUGACCUAAGUUGAAGGCAGACGCUUAACCGAGUGAGCCAUCCAGGUGCCCUGGGGUCCAAAUUCUAACUCUACCACUCACCAGCUUUGAAUUGGAA
ensembl:lincRNA